UGGGUAACCUGCCCAAGAGAUCGGGAUAACACCUGGAAACAGAUGCUAAUACCGGAUAACAACAGAUGAUGCCAUCAACUGUUUAAAAGAUGGUUCUGCUAUCACUCUUGGAUGGACCUGCGGUGCAUUAGCUAGUUGGUAGGGUAACGGCCUACCAAGGCGAUGAUGCAUAGCCGAGUUGAGAGACUGAUCGGCCACAUUGGGACUGAGACACGGCCCAAACUCCUACGGGAGGCAGCAGGC
rnacentral:rRNA from 1 species